rnacentral:tRNA from 1 species
CUGGAUAGAGUGUCUGACUACGAAUCAGAAGGUUGCAGGUUCGACUCCUGCUGGGUGCA